rnacentral:rRNA from 1 species
UACGAAGGGGGCUAGCGUUGCUCGGAAUCACUGGGCGUAAAGGGUGCGUAGGCGGGUCUUUAAGUCAGAGGUGAAAGCCUGGAGCUCAACUCCAGAACUGCCUUUGAUACUGAGGAUCUCGAGUUCGGGAGAGGUGAGUGGAACUGCGAGUGUAGAGGUGAAAUUCGUAGAUAUUCGCAAGAACACCAGUGGCGAAGGCGGCUCACUGGCCCGAUACUGACGCUGAGGCACGAAAGCGUGGGGAGCGAACAGG